UACGUAGGGGGCAAGCGUUGUCCGGAAUCAUUGGGCGUAAAGAGCGUGUAGGCGGUCCGGUCAGUCGGUUGUGAAAGUCAAGGGCUCAACCCUUGAAUGCCGGCCGAUACUGCCGGGCUAGAGUCCGGAAGAGGUGAGUGGAAUUCCUGGUGUAGCGGUGAAAUGCGCAGAUAUCAGGAGGAACACCGAUGGCGAAGGCAGCUCACUGGGACGGUACUGACGCUGAGACGCGAAAAGCGUGGGGAGCAAACAGG
rnacentral:rRNA from 1 species